rnacentral:rRNA from 1 species
GACGAACGCUGGCGGCGUGCUUAACACAUGCAAGUCGAACGGAAAGGCCUUGCUUGCAGGGUACACUAGUGGCGAACGGGUGAGUAACACGUGGGUGAUCUGCCCUUCACCUGGGGAUAAGUCGGGGAAACUGGGUCGAAUACCGGACAGGUGCCCGUUUGAGCGUCAUGGUUGGAAAGUUUUUUGGGAGUAGGAUUAGCGCGGGGCCUAGUAGCUUGUUGGUGUGGUAAUGGCCUACCGAGGCGGGGACGGGUAGCCGGCCUGAGAGGGUGGACGGCCACAUUGGGACUGAGAUACGGCCCAGACACCUACGGGAGGCAGCAGUGGGGAAGAGUGAACAAUGGGCGGAAGCCUGAUGCAGCGACGCCGCGUGGGGGAUGACGGCCUUCGGGUUGUAAACGCCUUUCGCUAGGGACGAAGCUUUUUGUGACGGUACCUGGAGAAGAAGCACCGGCUAACUACGUG